rnacentral:rRNA from 1 species
UUAGCGGCGGACGGGUGAGUAAUGCGUGGGAACAUACCCUUUGGUACGGAAUAGCCUCGGGAAACUGGGAGUAAUACCGUAUGUGCCCUUCGGGGGAAAGAUUUAUCGCCAAAGGAUUGGCCCGCGUUGGAUUAGGUAGUUGGUGGGGUAAUGGCUCACCAAGGCGACGAUUCGUAGCUGGUCUGAGAGGACGACCAGCAUCACUGGGACUGAGACACGGCCCAGACUCC